ACUGUGUUGCCCGCUCAAUUUUUUUCGCCAAACUUAAACUUCCCACCUUUUUUUCUUUUGUUCUGUGAAAGGAAAUAAAGGUGCUCAUCGAAAACGAAACCUCUCUCCUCUCAGACGCCCAACACGGCUCUCUCGCGAAAUUUCCCUCUUCCAAUUGCUAUUCCAAUUCUCUUUUUGGGUUUUUGAUUUUCAUAAUUUUCUACUGGUUAUUGAGCAGCUCAGGUCUAAGUUUUCAAAUACUCUCGAACAUCCCCACACCUCCUUUCUCUAUUUCUGUCUAGCCGACUCAUCACCGUCACAAUCCCCAUAGCAGAUCUACCUUUUCCGAAUCGUGAACGUUUUCUCAGAUCCACGCGAUUUGACUCCCACCCCGUUCGUAGCUCCCUCCGUCACCGCUCACUGGUCAACAAAAUCCAAAGAGCUUGCACAGCUCUCGGUGACCACGGCGAAGCUAGCGCAUUACCGACUCUUUGGGACUCGCUUCCCUCCAUCGCUGCCGUUGGUGGCCAGGAUCAAUGAGGUCUUUUGCUAUACUAGAUGAAUCGAUCACUGGUACAUUCAAACAAUUGAUACCUUGGACAAAAGAAGAGGUCAGUAUGUGCAAUCUUAGUGUGAUAUUUGAUAGGUUGGAUGAAAGCUCAAUGCUAGCUAUUAGUUGAGUGACGAGAAUAAAAGCUCAGCAGAGAAGGGAAGGACAUGGAAACAGAAGCAUAUUGAAAGGAAACCAAAGGCAGUUAUAGUAUAACAAUGAACUUGCUUAAAUUCCUCUGUUGUAGUUAGGUAACUUCAAAUAUGUUUAGGGUUUAGGGAUAUGACUUUAAUUGAUUGAUGUAAUGAGUUUUACUAAUACAUUUCCAGUUGUUACUUUAUAAAUGAAAUUAAUUACAAUGAGGGUAAUAUGAGUAUGAUAUUU